rnacentral:rRNA from 1 species
UACGUAGGGGGCUAGCGUUGUCCGGAAUCAUUGGGCGUAAAGCGCGCGUAGGCGGUCAGGAAAGUCCGGUGUGAAAGUCAUAGGCUCAACCUAUGGAUGCCGCUGGAAACUGCCUGACUUGAGUCCGGAAGGGGCGAGUGGAAUUCCUGGUGUAGCGGUGAAAUGCGCAGAUAUCAGGAGGAACACCGGUGGCGAAGGCGACUACCUGGCCUGUUCUUGACGCUGAGGCGCGAAAGCUAGGGGAGCAAACGGG